AACGAACGCUGGCGGCAUGCCUAACACAUGCAAGUCGAACGAGACCUUCGGGUCUAGUGGCGCACGGGUGCGUAACGCGUGGGAACCUGCCCUUAGGUUCGGAAUAACUCCCCGAAAGGGGUGCUAAUACCGGAUAAUGUCUUCGGACCAAAGAUUUAUAGCCUUUGGAUGGGCCCGCGUUGGAUUAGCUAGUUGGUAGGGUAAAAGCCUACGAAGGCGACGAUCCAUAGCUGGUCUGAGAGGAUGAUCAGCCACACUGGGACUGAGACACGGCCCAGACUCCUACGGGAGGCAGCAGUGGGGAAUAUUGGAAAAUGGGCGAAAGCCUGAUCCAGCAAUGCCGCGUGAGUGAUGAAGGCCUUAGGGUUGUAAAGCUCUUUUACCCGGGAUGAUAAUGACAGUACCGGAAGAAUAAGCUCCGGCUAACUCCGUG
rnacentral:rRNA from 1 species